GUGCUCACUUCGGCAGCACAUACACUACAAGUAGAAAGAUACAGAGAUUAGCAUGGCCCCUGUGCAAGGUUGACAUGCAAAUUCAUGAAGCAUUUCCAUAAUUA